rnacentral:rRNA from 1 species
AAAGACGGUCUUGCUGUCACUUAUAGAUGGAUCCGCGCUGCAUUAGCUAGUUGGUAAGGUAACGGCUUACCAAGGCAACGAUGCAUAGCCGACCUGAGAGGGUGAUCGGCCACACUGGAACUGAGACACGGUCCAGACUCCUACGGGAGGCAGCAGUAGGGAAUCUUCCGCAAUGGGCGAAAGCCUGACGGAGCAACGCCGCGUGAGUGAUGAAGGUCUUCGGAUCGUAAAACUCUGUUAUUAGGGAAGAACAUAUGUGUAAGUAACUGUGCACAUCUUGACGGUACCUAAUCAGAAAGCCACGGCUAACUACGUGCCAGCAGCCGCGGUAAUACGUAGGUGGCAAGCGUUAUCCGGAAUUAUUGGGCGUAAAGCGCGCGUAGGCGGUUUUUUAAGUCUGAUGUGAAAGCCCACGGCUCAACCGUGGAGGGUCAUUGGAAACUGGAAAACUUGAGUGCAGAAGAGGAAAGUGGAAUUCCAUGUGUAGCGGUGAAAUGCGCAGAGAUAUGGAGGAACACCAGUGGCGAAGGCGACUUUCUGGUCUGUAACUGACGCUGAUGUGCGAAAGCGUGGGGAUCAAACAGGAUUAGAU